GACGAACGCUGGCGGCGUGCCUAAUACAUGCAAGUCGAGCGAGCGGAACUAACAGAUUUACUUCGGUAAUGACGUUAGGAAAGCGAGCGGCGGAUGGGUGAGUAACACGUGGGGAACCUGCCCCAUAGUCUGGGAUACCACUUGGAAACAGGUGCUAAUACCGGAUAAGAAAGCAGAUCGCAUGAUCAGCUUUUAAAAGGCGGCGUAAGCUGUCGCUAUGGGAUGGCCCCGCGGUGCAUUAGCUAGUUGGUAAGGUAAAGGCUUACCAAGGCGAUGAUGCAUAGCCGAGUUGAGAGACUGAUCGGCCACAUUAGGACUGAGACACGGCCCAAACUCCUACGGGAGGCAGCAGUAGGGAAUCUUCCACAAGGGACGCAAGUCUGAUGGAGCAACGCCGCGUGAGUGAAGAAGGUUUUCGGAUCGUAAAGCUCUGUUGUUGGUGAAGAAGGAUAGAGGUAGUAACUGGCCUUUAUUUGACGGUAAUCAACCAGAAAGUCACGGCUAACUACGUG
rnacentral:rRNA from 1 species